rnacentral:rRNA from 1 species
UACGAAGGGGGCUAGCGUUGCUCGGAAUCACUGGGCGUAAAGGGCGCGCAGGCGGUCUUGAAAGUCAGGCGUGAAAGCCCCGGGCUUAACCUGGGAAUUGCGCUUGAUACUCUGAGACUGGAGUACGGGAGAGGAGAGUGGAAUUCCCAGUGUAGAGGUGAAAUUCGUAGAUAUUGGGAAGAACACCAGUGGCGAAGGCGGACUCUCUGGACCGUAACUGACGCUGAGGCGCGAAAGCGUGGGGAGCAAACA